rnacentral:rRNA from 1 species
AGCGAACGCUGGCGGCAGGCUUAACACAUGCAAGUCGAACGCAUCCUUCGGGGUGAGUGGCAGACGGGUGAGUAACGCGUGGGAACAUGCCCUUUGGUUCGGAAUAACUCAGGGAAACUUGAGCUAAUACCGGAUAAGCCCUUUUGGGGAAAGAUUUAUCGCCGAAGGAUUGGCCCGCGUCCGAUUAGCUAGUUGGUGAGGUAAUGGCUCACCAAGGCGACGAUCGGUAGCUGGUCUGAGAGGAUGAUCAGCCACACUGGGACUGAGACACGGCCCAGACUCCUACGGGAGGCAGCAGGGGGGAAUAUUGGACAAUGGGGGCAACCCUGAUCCAGCUAUGCCGCGUGAGUGAUGAAGGCCCUAGGGUUGUAAAGCUCUUUCGGCGGGGACGAUAAUGACGGUACCCGCAGAAGAAGCCCCGGCUAACUUCGUGCCAGCAGCCGCCGUAA